rnacentral:rRNA from 1 species
UACAGAGGUCCCAAGCGUUGUUCGGAUUCACUGGGCGUAAAGGGUGCGUAGGUGGUGAGGUAAGUUUGAUGUGAAAUCUCCGGGCUCAACCCGGAAAUGGCAUUGAAUACUAUCUUGCUAGAGGAGUGGAGGGGGGACUGGAAUACUUGGUGUAGCAGUGAAGUGCGUAGAUAUCAAGUGGAACACCAGUGGCGAAGGCGAGUCCCUGGACACUUCCUGACACUGAGGCACGAAAGCUAGGGGAGCAAACAGG